GAUGAUAUUGUUUGUUUUUUUCUUACUGAUUUGAGUUUAUUGUAGAUUCUGGAUAUCAGUUCUUUGUCAGAUGUACAGGUUGUGAAGAUUUUCCCCCACACUGUGGGUUGUCUGUUUACUCUGCUGACUGUUCCUUUUGCCGUGCUGGAGAUUUUUAGUU